UGGGGAAUAUUGGACAAUGGGCGAAAGCCUGAUCCAGCAAUGCCGCGUGAGUGAUGAAGGCCUUAGGGUUGUAAAGCUCUUUUACCCGGGAUGCAGUACCGGGAGAAUAAGCUCCGGCUAACUCCGUGCCAGCAGCCGCGGUAAUACGGAGGGAGCUAGCGUUGUUCGGAAUUACUGGGCGUAAAGCGCGCGUAGGCGGUUUA
rnacentral:rRNA from 1 species